rnacentral:rRNA from 1 species
GGGGGAAWUKGCCCCUAGUAACGGCGAGUGAAGCGGCAACAGCUCAAAUUUGAAAUCUGGCUUCGGCCCGAGUUGUAAUUUGCAGAGGAUGCUUCUGGCGCGGUGCCUUCCGAGUUCCCUGGAACGGGACGCCACAGAGGGUGAGAGCCCCGUAUGGUCGGACACCAAGCCUGUGUGAAGCUCCUUCGACGAGUCGAGUAGUUUGGGAAUGCUGCUCUAAAUGGGAGGUAAAUCUCUUCUAAAGCUAAAUACCGGCCAGAGACCGAUAGCGCACAAGUAGAGUGAUCGAAAGAUGAAAAGCACCUUGAAAAGGGGGUUAAAUAGUACGUGAAAUUGUUGAAAGGGAAGCACUUAUGACCAGACUUGGGCCGGGCGGCUCAUCAGGGGUUCUCCCCUGUGCACUCCGCCCGGCACAGGCCAGCAUCGGUUUUCGCGGGGGGAUAAGACCGUCGGGAACGUAGCACCCUCCGGGGUGUGUUAUAGCCCGGCGGACGAUACCCUCGCGGGGACCGAGGUUCGCGCUCCGCAAGGAUGCUGGCGUAAUGGUCAUCAGUGACCCGUCUUGAAACACGGACMCA